CUUUAUAAAAUUUUAUUCAAAUAUGUACAAUAAAAAUUCACCAGACAGUAUCUGGUGUCACAAACAAACAGUUACAUGUAGUCAAUUAAAACAAUAUCAAAAGCAAUUCAAAAAAGUUUAAAUAUGUUAAUUCUAUGACAUGUCAACUAGUAUAGUUUAGAAUUAAUACAAUUUGUCCGCAUGGCCAUCUGUUACUUUAAUAACAGGAUUGUCUAAUAUAAAAUAUUUUUCUAAUAAUAAAUGUUCUUUUCUCUGAUUUAAAAGAUAAAAAAAAAUGAGAGAUGUAUUUUUCUAACAAUGUUUUAAAAUAGUCUAGACUACUAAAUUGAGUUUAGCUUAAGGAUCCAAAAAUACAAAAUGUCUUCUCUUAUAAAUACCAGAGACAUAUAAUACAAUGUAUUAUAUGUCUCUGUAGAUACUUAAUCUUGCUAUACUUAUAAUAAAAUUUGCGAAAUAAAAAUUAAAACCGUUACUUUUUCUUCAAAAAACCCAUUAGCAUCGUUUGGUCAAAAUCAAGCGUGUUUACAAAAGUAUCAUCAACGUUGCACAUAAAAUUUAUUAAAAAAUCUUUCAGAAAAUCAGUGUAUUGUGACAGAUUGACACAAUUAAUAAAUAUAUGUUAUAAAUCUUCUCUAGAUUGUUUACACACUGGACAAGUGUCUUUAUCAGACAUGUUACAUUUCAAAAGUUUAACAUUAGUAAACAAAGUUCUAUAACACUAAAUACUUUGGUGUACAGUAACUGAUUAACAUUUUAGUCAGGGAGAGCAUGGUUUGUUUGUUAGUUGUAAUUUAACCUAGAUUGCAAUAACUCAGAUAGGUAUUUGGCAUCUUUCGUCUUUUUGCUAUUUGUUUUUGUACCUUUCUGACUAUUCUAGAUAUUUUGAAAUUGGUUUUUAUAAUUGAAUUUCUUAGGUAACAAUGGGAUGAGCGCUCGUAAAUAUAUUGCAUCAUAGUCUUUAUGUGCAAGUCCAAGGCUGUAAUCCUGCAGUAUUUGUAGGUUGCUGUCUGCUAUAUUUGUUAUUCUGUUAUUUUAAGGUUGCUGUCUGCUAUAUUUGUUAUACUGUUAUUUUUAGGUUGCUGUCUGCUAUAUUUGUUAUUCUGUUAUUUUUAGGUUGCUGUCUGCUAUAUUUGUUAUACUGUUAUUUUUAGGUUGCUGUCUGUUAUAUAUGUUAUACUGUUAUUUUUAGGUUGCUGUCUGCUAAAUUUGUUAUACUGUUAUUUUUAGGUUGCUGUCUGCUAUAUUUGUUAUACUGUUAUUUUUAGGUUGCUGUCUGCUAUAUUUGUUAUUCUGUUAUUAUUGUAGUAUAAAUCAGGCCUUUGGUUUUCUCUUUUGAACUAUUCGUUUCACAUGUUUUCAUACA